AAUCACCCACUUUCUCACAGCCUCUCCUCAGAUGCUGGACAGACCGUGUCUUUUCCCAUCACCUGAGCAAGGAGACCCCGUGUGACAGAUAACAAAACAGCAGAGAAUUUGAAAAACCUGGGAGAGUACAAAUGAAAAUAAGAAAUCUUUCAGGCUCUCACAGCGCAAACCACGGCCGAGAGCUCGGCGUCGACUCUCGUCUUGAGUCUUUUUCUGGUGAAUAUAUGUAUUUUUCCGUAAUCGGAAGGACACGGUCCAUACACCUGUAAGCACCUUAACAAAAUAACUCUCUUUUUCUGGCUGUAAAGCGACACGCGUUAGUGCAGAAAAUUUGGACAAUUAAAAACAUACGAAGAAGAAAAUAAAAACAACCGGAUUCCACCGUGUGAGAUUAACAUUUUGGCAUUUUUCCUUCCUCUUGACACAAUUGAACAUCUGUUUGAAACAAAAUUGGGAUUAUAGUGUAAAUAUUGUUUUGCACCUUGCUCCUUUCAUGCAUGGCUGUGUUAUAAGUGUCCCCACAUCACUGAGGGUUCGUCUACUAUGUUGUUUGUAAUCACACAGCCCUGUAUUGGGGGGUUUGUGUUUUAUUUAACUUAUAUACUAUGAUUGGACAUUGAUGCUGUUUAUAUUUUCCAUCUCUUCCUUGCUUCCUUUUUCUUUUAUGGUGAAUAUCCUUGUAGCUAAACCUGUGUGCAUGUUCACGAAAAUGCCUUAUGACAAAUCCCCAGCUGUGGAAUUGCUAAGUCAAAGAAUGUAAUCACUAAUGCUUCUUGUACCCCUCUUUUUUACUUUAUGUGCUUUCCAAAUUUAAAAAGUAAUAAAUGAAUAUUUUAACAAGU